UUAAGCGACUAAGCGUACACGGUGGAUGCCCUGGCAGUCAGAGGCGAUGAAGGACGUGCUAAUCUGCGAAAAGCGUCGGUAAGGUGAUAUGAACCGUUAUAACCGGCGAUGUCCGAAUGGGGAAACCCAGUGCAAUUCGUUGCACUAUCGUUAACUGAAUACAUAGGUUAACGAGGCGAACCGGGGGAACUGAAACAUCUAAGUACCCCGAGGAAAAGAAAUCAACCGAGAUUCCCCCAGUAGCGGCGAGCGAACGGGGAGCAGCCCAGAGUCUGAAUCAGCUUGUGUGUUAGUGGAACGGUCUGGAAAGUCCGACGGUACAGGGUGAUAGUCCCGUACACCAAAAUGCACAGGUUGUGAACUCGAAGAGUAGGGCGGGACACGUGGUAUCCUGUCUGAAUAUGGGGGGACCAUCCUCCAAGGCUAAAUACUCCUGACUGACCGAUAGUGAACCAGUACCGUGAGGGAAAGGCGAAAAGAACCCCGGCGAGGGGAGUGAAAAAGAACCUGAAACCGUGUACGUACAAGCAGUGGGAGCACCUUCGGGUGUGACUGCGUACCUUUUGUAUAAUGGGUCAGCGACUUAUAUUCUGUAGCAAGGUUAACCGUAUAGGGGAGCCGCAGGGAAACCGAGUCUUAACUGGGCGUUAAGUUGCAGGGUAUAGACCCGAAACCCGGUGAUCUAGCCAUGGGCAGGUUGAAGGUUGGGUAACACUAACUGGAGGACCGAACCGACUAAUGUUGAAAAAUUAGCGGAUGACUUGUGGCUGGGGGUGAAAGGCCAAUCAAACCGGGAGAUAGCUGGUUCUCCCCGAAAGCUAUUUAGGUAGCGCCUCGUGAAUUCAUCUUCGGGGGUAGAGCACUGUUUCGGCUAGGGGGUCAUCCCGACUUACCAACCCGAUGCAAACUACGAAUACCGAAGAAUGUUAUCACGGGAGACACACGGCGGGUGCUAACGUCCGUCGUGAAGAGGGAAACAACCCAGACCGCCAGCUAAGGUCCCAAAGUCAUGGUUAAGUGGGAAACGAUGUGGGAAGGCACAGACAGCCAGGAUGUUGGCUUAGAAGCAGCCAUCAUUUAAAGAAAGCGUAAUAGCUCACUGGUCGAGUCGGCCUGCGCGGAAGAUGUAACGGGGCUAAACCAUGCACCGAAGCUGCGGCAGCGACACUAUGUGUUGUUGGGUAGGGGAGCGUUCUGUAAGCCUGCGAAGGUGUGCUGUGAGGCAUGCUGGAGGUAUCAGAAGUGCGAAUGCUGACAUAAGUAACGAUAAAGCGGGUGAAAAGCCCGCUCGCCGGAAGACCAAGGGUUCCUGUCCAACGUUAAUCGGGGCAGGGUGAGUCGACCCCUAAGGCGAGGCCGAAAGGCGUAGUCGAUGGGAAACAGGUUAAUAUUCCUGUACUUGGUGUUACUGCGAAGGGGGGACGGAGAAGGCUAUGUUAGCCGGGCGACGGUUGUCCCGGUUUAAGCAUGUAGGCUGGUUGUCCAGGCAAAUCCGGAUAAUCAAGGCUGAGGUGUGAUGACGAGGCACUACGGUGCUGAAGUAACAAAUGCCCUGCUUCCAGGAAAAGCCUCUAAGCAUCAGGUAACAUCAAAUCGUACCCCAAACCGACACAGGUGGUCAGGUAGAGAAUACCAAGGCGCUUGAGAGAACUCGGGUGAAGGAACUAGGCAAAAUGGUGCCGUAACUUCGGGAGAAGGCACGCUGGUGUGUAGGUGAAGUCCCUGCGGAUGGAGCUGAGACCAGUCGAAGAUACCAGCUGGCUGCAACUGUUUAUUAAAAACACAGCACUGUGCAAACACGAAAGUGGACGUAUACGGUGUGACGCCUGCCCGGUGCCGGAAGGUUAAUUGAUGGGGUUAUCCGUAAGGAGAAGCUCUUGAUCGAAGCCCCGGUAAACGGCGGCCGUAACUAUAACGGUCCUAAGGUAGCGAAAUUCCUUGUCGGGUAAGUUCCGACCUGCACGAAUGGCGUAAUGAUGGCCAGGCUGUCUCCACCCGAGACUCAGUGAAAUUGAACUCGCUGUGAAGAUGCAGUGUACCCGCGGCAAGACGGAAAGACCCCGUGAACCUUUACUAUAGCUUGACACUGAACAUUGAGCCUUGAUGUGUAGGAUAGGUGGGAGGCUUUGAAGCGUGGACGCCAGUCUGCGUGGAGCCAACCUUGAAAUACCACCCUUUAAUGUUUGAUGUUCUAACGUUGGCCCCUUACCGGGGUUGCGGACAGUGUCUGGUGGGUAGUUUGACUGGGGCGGUCUCCUCCCAAAGCGUAACGGAGGAGCACGAAGGUUAGCUAAUCCUGGUCGGACAUCAGGAGGUUAGUGCAAUGGCAUAAGCUAGCUUGACUGCGAGCGUGACGGCGCGAGCAGGUGCGAAAGCAGGUCAUAGUGAUCCGGUGGUUCUGAAUGGAAGGGCCAUCGCUCAACGGAUAAAAGGUACUCCGGGGAUAACAGGCUGAUACCGCCCAAGAGUUCAUAUCGACGGCGGUGUUUGGCACCUCGAUGUCGGCUCAUCACAUCCUGGGGCUGAAGUAGGUCCCAAGGGUAUGGCUGUUCGCCAUUUAAAGUGGUACGCGAGCUGGGUUUAGAACGUCGUGAGACAGUUCGGUCCCUAUCUGCCGUGGGCGCUGGAGAAUUGAGGGGGGCUGCUCCUAGUACGAGAGGACCGGAGUGGACGCAUCACUGGUGUUCGGGUUGUCAUGCCAAUGGCACUGCCCGGUAGCUAAAUGCGGAAGAGAUAAGUGCUGAAAGCAUCUAAGCACGAAACUUGCCCCGAGAUGAGUUCUCCCUGAGACUUUAAGUCUCCUGAAGGAACGUUAAAGACGAUGACGUUGAUAGGCCGGGUGUGUAAGCGCAGCGAUGCGUUGAGCUAACCGGUACUAAUGAACCGUGAGGCUUAACCUU
rnacentral:rRNA from 2 species